rnacentral:piRNA from 1 species
GACAGAGGCCUAUUGUAACCCCGUUCUUCA